rnacentral:rRNA from 1 species
UACGUAGGGUGCAAGCGUUGUCCGGAUUAUUGGGCGUAAAGAGCGUGUAGGCGGCCAUACAGGUCCGUUGUGAAACUGGAGGCUUAACCUCCAGACGUCGAUGGAAACCGUAUGGCUAGAGUCCGGAAGAGGAGAGUGGAAUUCCUGGUGUAGCGGUGAAAUGCGCAGAUAUCGGGAAGAACACCCGUGGCGAAGGCGGUUCUCUGGGACGGUACUGACGCUGAGACGCGAAAGCGUGGGGAGCGAACAGG